rnacentral:rRNA from 1 species
GGGGAAUAUUGCACAAUGGGCGAAAGCCUGAUGCAGCGACGCCGCGUGAGCGAUGAAGGCCUUCGGAUCGUAAAGCUCUGUUAUUGGGGAAGAAAAAAAGACGGUACCCAAGAAGAAAGUCCCGGCUAACUACGUGCCAGCAGCCGCGGUAAUACGUAGGGGACAAGCGUUGUCCGGAUUUACUGGGCGUAAAGGGCACGCAGGCGGUUUUUUAAGUCAGAUGUGAAAGGUACCGGCUCAACCGGUGACAUGCAUUUGAAACUGAAAGACUUGAGUAUUGGAGAGGCAAGUGGAAUUCCUAGUGUAGCGGUGAAAUGCGUAGAUAUUAGGAGGAACACCGGUGGCGAAGGCGGCUUGCUGGACAAAUACUGACGCUGAGGUGCGAAAGCGUGGGGAGCAAACA